UAAGUAAGGGGGCGGAAUGGUAGUGUCUGGUAUAUGACACCACCGCCCCUCCCCGUGUGCCUCGUGUGCGCUGCCUGCCAGCCCGCCUCGCACAGCUGCUGCCGCCAGAGGCGGAUGCCACCAGUCUCUACAGUGCCGAUGCCUGGCUACAGAUGCAUUUGCCGGUGUGGUGGUGGAGCUGGUUCUUUUGUUGUGGCGCAAAGGAUCUCUAUUAAAGCAUCAGCUUGGAGAAGAUGUGAAUUGAAGUUUGACACCCGUGGCACUACAAGUAGAUGAUUUUGAUACCAGGAUGACAAUUCACUGUAGCAACUGGCUCAGUUGCGGCCAAAGAUAGUAACUGUGAGGAACACAGACAACAUCAACAGCUGGGAAAGAGCAGUCUGUUGAAGAGCAUGCUGCCUGGAGGCCCACUCCCAUCAGUGUACAUGGUAUGGUAUAGCAGCUGGUGUUGUGAAUCAGGCCGUUGCCAAUCAGAGAACGGCUACUUCACAACACCAGGGUUGUAUCCUGCCACAGUCAACAGUCUGGGAGACAGCAUACAGAAAAAGAAGAUUCCUGAUACUUUCUUUCCACAUUGUCUUCUAUCCUAAAUUCCAAUCUUAGGUCCUUUAAAGUUGACCUAUGAAGUAGUGCAUUUACCAGGCAGAGACUGAAUUUUCUGUGAGGAAUACUGCAGCUAUAUUAUUUGCUCUAAUGUUAAGAGGGAGGUAGCUCUUAUCAAGUGAACGAAAAUAUUAGGUCAAAGAGACCCCCCUGUAUUCCUGGUGUGGUGUGAUUUGGGGAUUGUUGUCCUUGCAUAUGUACUAUUUGUUAUUGGCACAAUUCCAUCUAGUUAUCCAAUCAAUUAAUCUCUGUAACUAACUGAAUUUGUCAUAAAAGAAAACAAAGUUUAUGAGUGAUAAGAAAAUGUCAGGUGUUUUGUGUGCAAGUAGAAGCACCUUCUAAUAACUGAACACAGUUGUGCAGAACUAAUAAAUACCACACGGGCACAGCUGCUAUUGUAAUUUACAGUGCUUGGAAAUCACCAACAAAUGUGCUACACUUCCUAUAUGAACGCAGGGCACACAACAUAUCCACCAUCCCCUCUGAGCUAUUUUGUCGUAGGAGAGAAAGAUAUAAGAACCUAUAUCGGGGGAGAGGGAAGGGGGGAAUAAAGUUUCUGUUAAUUGAGACAGUAAUGUAGCAGUGAAAUGGUUGCUACUGGAAGAUGUAAGGUUGGGGCGUACUACUGGGUGUCAGCAAUUAGACUGUAAUAAUCUAAUACAUUAAAGUGGUGUUAAUUUGGCAUGCUGAAGUUGCCCACCCUUUCUUAGACUCGGGGGGAACUUUUCACUGAUUGUUUUCCUUCCUCUGUCCUUUUCUGCAGAUAAAGUUAAAAACGUUUUUGAAAGAUUUAGAACAAUUAUCAUUAUUCUAGCACCAAAAAAAGUAGAGUUCUCAAACAUUUCUAGCACAAAUGCCCAUAGCCAUGAGCAGAGGCCUGGGCUGUGGUAGCCCCUCCUCUACCCUUCUUUGUGUUCCACAGGAAGUCUCCCUCCCACCCCUUAUUUAUUGUGCUUCAUGCAGAUUCCAGAGCAUCAGAGGAAGCUGUAUCUGGUAUUCAGCUUCCCAGGUUCCUUUGACUCCCUCGAGCGAUUACUACUGAACCUGUAUGUGAACAGCAGAUAGAACCUCCUCCACUGCCUCGCAACCUGCAUGGAGCAUAUAAAAGCUGAAGCUCAGUAUUCUUCCCCAGCUGCCAUGGCUCCAGUCACCAGUCCUCAUAUCCCCCUCUCUGGAGGUCUCCUCUGCUCACUUGCUGUUGCCAGUUCUUCCUUUCCUCCCUGCUUGACUCUUCACCACAUACAGUCCCCACCUCUCCGCUUGCCUUCGGCUGCAUGGGUUUCCUCUUCAUUGCUUCCAUCUUGCCACUGCUCACUUGAGAUCCGCCUCUCUGCUCCCCACUUACUCUCAGCCCCCCUGCCAUUUGCCACAGACCCCUUCUCCUCAUUCAGCGCACCCCCUGCUAGCUGCAGGUGGGUUUCAGACAGGGGAGGUGAGUGGGGAGGCACGGGGAGAAGAGGAGGGAGGUACUCAGCCAAGAGUGCAAACAGUAGGUUGCCAAGCCUGGGGGGGUGGGAGGCCGAGGGACACUUCCAGCAAGCCAAGUGGGAGCAUGGCCUGGAAUGAAGCAGGGGUGAAGUGUGGGUGUAGCUGGGGCUAUGGAGAGGGGUGGAGCUUUCCUAAGCAGAAGCUUCAUUCACUGCUCAUGCCCAUAGCCUACUUCUGCUUUACACAAUCCUGAAUGGAAUGAGCCAGAUUCUUGGCUGCCAUAACUGGGCAUAGAGCCAGUAAAUUCAUUUGAGCUACUUCAGAGACGUUGUACUGGGGUAGACCCUCAGCCCUUGUAAAUUGGUCUGCAAAAGGGGCAAUGGAGCACUUGUGCCCUUUUAUUACUUUGAUGGGUAAAGACUUGAAGUGUUUCUUUCAAAAAAUCUGGGGAGCUAAGGAAGAGGGGGAUUGUCUGCUUGAGUUUUUUUGUUUUUACAUGAGGUGUUUAGGCUUUCCCCAUUGUGGGAGACUCUGUGGUGACAAGAAAGAAAGUGAAAUAAUUAUGACCUCACCAGAGACUGUUUUGUUUGUUAACUCCAGUGUGUAAUAAAUACUUUGAAAAUAAGUCUUUUUUUGUAAUCUGUUCCCCAUACUAUCAGUUGAUAUGUAGGAAUAAAUAGAAAACCCAUAAAGUCCUUGCCUUAGACGCAACCAGUCAUCUCAGUAAGUAUUGAAUACUUCUAAUAGCAGAUGCAGAAAGGGCAAAAUAAAGACAGAGUAGAUCAGGAAAUUUAGCACAAAGGUGGGACUUUCAAAUGCAUUUAGUGUUGGCCUAGUUCUAAUUCUGUUGAAGACAGGCCAAAGUUGGACACUUUUGAAAAUCCUAUCCUUUGAUGCAUAAUUUUUGGUAGUGGAGCAGGGGGAAGGGAGUGAGUAGUGGAAAGUGAAAUAAAGGUAGGAGGGACUUAGCAUGACACACUGGAUUAUGUAUCGUGUUCCAGGUAUGGAUCAGCAUUGAAAAUUCCUGGCAAUGUGAGCACAAGAUGAUAAAGGCUCAGAAAGGAAAGAAGAGUUGGAAAUGCAUAGAAUAGAGAGCAUAUCUACACAGUAGCAUGAACAUUAUGUCCCACAAGGUUCCAGCUGUGUGUGUUACAAUCAGACAAAAUAUUUGGUGCAGGUCAGGUGCCAGCUCUUGCCAUGGCUGUAGGCCUCAGCUGAGCACUGGCAAAUUCAUUGCUGGAAACAAGUCAGUUUUUCCUGUGUGUUAGUAUGGUUAAGAUGGAUGUUGAACUUAUGUGUUUAGACUUUAUGAAUUGCUUGUAAGAUGCUGCAUAUACAUUAACCUCACUUACAAUAUGUUCAUCACAUGCUACAAGGUAAUAUUUGUAUUUUUGCUUUAUAACUAAAAACAUUUCCUCUAUAAGGCUACGUCUACAUUGGCAUGAUCUUGCGCAAAAGCAGCCACUUUUGUGCAAAAACUUGCUGCCUGUCUCC